GACGAACGCUGGCGGCGUGCCUAAUACAUGCAAGUCGAACUCAGUGUGGACGGGUGCGUAACACGUGGGUAACCUCCCAUCAGAGGGGAUAACACUUGGAUACAGGUGCUAAACCGAUCUUGAUGGAUGGACCCGCGGUGCAUUAGCUAGUUGGUGAGGUAACGGCUCACCAAGGCCACGAUGCAUAGCCGACAUGAGGGGGUGAUCGGCGACACUGGGACUGAGACACGGGCCAGACUCCUACGGAAGGCAGCAGUAGGGAAUGUUCGGCAAUGGACGAAAGUCUGACCGAGCAACGCCGCGUGAGUGAAGAAGGUUUUCGGAUCGUAAAACUCUGUUGUUAGAGAAGCGGUAUCUAACCAGAAAGCCACGGCUAACUACGUGCCAGCAGCCGAGGUGAUUC
rnacentral:rRNA from 1 species